UUUCUUGAAUUAACGCGCGAAUACAUUAUCUGCUACGUCGUACAUUGCCACAGAUUCAUCUUCUUCUUCGUCGAAUCUGGAAUUUCAUCUUUAUCUGCUACGUUUUCUCUUUCCUACUUCGCCGAUCUAAGCGUUCAUGUUCCGCCGUGGAAACCGACGAUCGAUCCUUUCAGUUUCGGCACUUUCAGGAAGGGUUUCUUGGUUCCUUCUUCAUUUUUUUCACACUGAUUCUUGUCCUGCGCUUCAGCUUGUCGCCUUCGCCAUGCCGCUUGAGACCGUCGCCGUCCGCACUUGCGUUUCUGUCAGAAACACACAAGAAGUGGAGAUAAUGCUGGUGUCAUUGUUAAUCCCAAGGGGGAAAUGAAUUAGAUUCAGAGUAAAUAUGGUUCUUCUUCCAACAAAGAAUUUAUUUCUGUGAAAUGGAAACAUGGGCUGUGGAAACAUUGGAAUCUCACUCUCUCGGCUGUCACUCUCAUUCCCACUCUCGAUUCCCUUCUGAUUCAUGUUGUGGUACAUUAUACGCCAACAGAAUUGGCUCUUAAUUCCAUUCCACUAUUCUGCUCUCUUUGUCUAUUCUCUUUUAUGAUGCUGUAUGCAAUUGUUCCCCUAGUAAGUAAUAUAGUUUGUUGUAAAGGAAGCUUGCAGCAGCUGGGUAUUUUGUGGUGGUUCCUGACUUUUUUAAUGGUGAUCCCUUUGUUUCUGAAGAUGCUAACAGGCCUUUAUCUGUUUGGAUAAAAGAUCAUGAGCCGACUUGACAGGAGCUAUUAAGCUUAUUAAAGUUACAUUCAAAGGCAUAGCUACAUGGGAAAAGGAAACAAUGAUAAAGAAGGUAAAUUAUCUUAUGCACUUCCUAAAUUAUCUUAUGCACUUCAUAAAAUAUGCUGCUUCAUAUUUUUACUUGAAUGCUCUUCUUUUUGGAUUUGAGGUACACUCCCUUCAACUUGUAUUUCUAUAUUUUUCUAAUGUUAAAUUAACCCCUAAUUCGAUGUAA